rnacentral:rRNA from 1 species
GACGAACGCUGGCGGCGUGCUUAACACAUGCAAGUCGAACGAAGAGCGAUGGAAGCUUGCUUCUCUCAAUCUUAGUGGCGAACGGGUGAGUAACGCGUAAUCAACCUGCCCUUCAGAGGGGGACAACAGUUGGAAACGACUGCUAAUACCGCAUACGAUCUAAUCUCGGCAUCGAGGAUAGAUGAAAGGUGGCCUCUACAUGUAAGCUAUCACUGAAGGAGGGGAUUGCGUCUGAUUAGCUAGUUGGAGGGGGAACGGCCCACCAAGGCGAUGAUCAGUAGCCGGUCUGAGAGGAUGAACGGCCACAUUGGGACUGAGACACGGCCCAGACUCCUACGGGAGGCAGCAGUGGGGAAUCUUCCGCAAUGGACGAAAGUCUGACGGAGCAACGCCGCGUGAGUGAUGACGGCCUUCGGGUUGUAAAGCUCUGUUAAUCGGGACGAAAGGCCUUCUUGCGAAUAGGGAGAAGGAUUGACGGUACCGGAAGAGAAAGCCACGGCUAACUACGUG